rnacentral:rRNA from 1 species
GAUGAACGCUAGCUACAGGCUUAACACAUGCAAGUCGAGGGGAAACGCCAUCGAAAGCUUGCUUUUGAUGGGCGUCGACCGGCGCACGGGUGAGUAACGCGUAUCCAACCUGCCCACCACUUGGGGAUAACCUUGCGAAAGUAAGACUAAUACCCAAUGACGUCUCUAGAAGACAUCUGAAAGAGAUUAAAGAUUUAUCGGUGAUGGAUGGGGAUGCGUCUGAUUAGCUUGUUGGCGGGGUAACGGCCCACCAAGGCGACGAUCAGUAGGGGUUCUGAGAGGAAGGUCCCCGACAUGGGAACUGAGACACGGUCCAAACUCCUACGGGAGGCAGCAGUGAGGAAUAUUGGUCAAUGGACGAGAGUCUGAACCAGCCAAGUAGCGUGCAGGAUGACGGCCCUAUGGGUUGUAAACUGCUUUUAUAAGGGAAUAAAGUGAGUCUCGUGAGACUUUUUGCAUGUACCUUAUGAAUAAGGACCGGCUAAUUCCGUG